AAUAGGUCUGCAGAAAUGGGGAAAAAAAGGAAAAAAAAAAUUAGUUUUCAUAGUUAUGUAACACGGAGAGAUGAUCAAGUACAUGAUGAAGGUGAAAAUCUAUGAUACUUGGUAUCAGUGAGUAAUGAUUCCCUGAGAUAAAACCUCCCUCACAGGCUCACCAAGUCUCCUGUCUCUUGUUCCCCCACCCCAGCACCACUGCUCUCUUCACGCUGCAGCACAGAUGAUUGAAAGUUCCAAGCUGCCCUGCGGGGCUGCAUUCAGAGAGCUACAAGAAUUCCAGCUCUGUGAUGGCAGGGACUGUCCCACUGGAAAUCCAGAGCAAAGUCUGAAGGAAGCUGAAAUCCUAUCAAGAAGAUGAUGAAAUUAAGGGCUCAAAGAGAACUGCCACAGUGCAAGAGAAGGACCAGAUGAGAUGACUGCAGAGACACAAGCAAAGCCUCAAGAAAAACUAACUGGUUUGAACUGUGCCUGACAUGCUCUCUGAGGUGUUCUGGUCUCUAUUUGCAGUACUAGGGAUGGAAGCCAAGUCCUCACCCAGCCUUUUUCUUCUUCUUCUUCUUUUUUUUUGGUACUGGGGAUCAAACUCAUGACUGCACGCUUGCAAGGAAGGCACUUAUGCCGCUAAGCUAAAGCCCCAGCCCCUGCCUUUUUCAUUUUUGAGACAAGAUUUUACUAAAUUGCACAGUCAGGCUUCAAAACUAUGACCCUACUGCUCAGCUUCCCACACAGCUGAGAUUACAAGGGAUGCACCACCACAUCUGGCCUCUGAGAUUUUAAACAAGGGAGUGACAUGAUCAGACUUGGCUAUAACAUGAAAGAUAGCAGGAGUGUCCAAGACUGUAAUCAGAGGGCUCUGUUUGGAGGCUGUUCAGGUGAGAAUCACAGCAGGAUACAGCAGAAUCUGGUGACCAACUGGUAAGAAAAAGGAGAAACACUAGAGCAAAUUCUAGGUUUUUGAGCUGAGUAAGAUGAAUCACACAGCAAAUUAAGAAAAGAAAGAGACUAAAAUAGAAGGGGCUGGGAAAGAGUGGUUAGUGUCGCAGUAACUAAGGCUGGUCUCCAUGGUAUUUCUCUGCAGCACUGACCACUGCUGCUGUUCCAGUACUCAGGAGACAACUGGAAUAUUGUAGGCACCUUAGAGACCUUGACUACCAAGGAGCUGAAAAGGCAAACACUCAGAGACUAGACAGGAAAACUGGUUCUUUUGACCACUGCAGAAAUCUUAGGACAGUUAAAAUCAUAGAAACCAUCAACUCUACAGCAUUCUCUUUCAGCACCAUUAUUACUUCAUUCAGAUUUGUGGCUACGGCACCUGGAUUGUAUCUCUGGGGCACAACAGGAAAGCUACACUUAACAUGAUGAAAGAACCAGCCUCCUGCUGACUCAUGGGUUGGCUGCAAUUUCAGAAGAACAGCGGUAACCUGCCUCAGGCACUCCGUGGUAGGAGGAGCAGGAGCAGAGUCCUAACUGUGAUACCACACAAGAGGGGAAACACAACAGGGCUGUGACCAUUCUGCCUUUAGCUCAGGAGUAGUGAAUUUUCCAUGUUUUGUUUUGAUUGGCUUAACCUUUCGGAAUGCAGUUGAAAAAAUCUGGGAAAGAAAAACAGAAAAACUCUGCCUGUUGUUUCUUUAUUUUUUUCUUCUAUCUACUUGUUAUUUCUUACUUUUUUCCCCCUUCUUAAUGUAAUAAACAGUUGGAUUUGGAUGUCUUUGUUCCAAGUAUUUUUCCUCUAUAUUGUUCUUACUUUAUGGCAUCCCAAUAAAAGUAGAUGCUUGUGUUUUUUUGGCAUAGCCUUGGGAACAAGAUUUUUUUUUAAUGGUGCUGUGGCUAAACUUAAGAGCCUCACUCAUGCUAGGCAAGUGCUCUACAAUUGAACUAUAUGUACAUGUUUUGAGAGAUCUUUAAUGGGAUAAUGGUAAAGGUCAUUCAAUAAUCUGUGUAUUUUUUCUUACACUGCUUAUUCCCUCAGAUGUAGCCAUCUGGUUUUAUUUUUUCAUUGAAAAUUGAACAUAUUUUGGGGAUAAAAAGAGACAAUUUGCUACAUGUAUGCAAUGUGUAAUGAUCAAAUCAAGAUAAUUGGCAUUCCUACCACUUUAAACAUUUACCAUUACUUGGUAUCCAGAACCUUCAAAAUCCUCUCUUCUGCUUCAUAAAAUGUGAUCAAAGCCGGGCACCUAUAAUCCCAGCACUUGAGAAGCUGAGGCAGGAGGACUGUUGAAGACCAGCCUGGGCUACAAAGUGAGCUCAAGGCUAGCCUGAAUUGUAUAGCAAGACCCUAUCUCAAAACAGCAACAACAAAAAACAAAACCCCAAACUGAUCAAUUGUUAUAAGCUUGCUGGGCAUGGUGGCACACACCUGUAAUCCCAGCACUUGGCAGGCUGAGGCAGGAAGAUCACUAUGAAUUCAAGACUGGCGUGAACUACAUAGCAAGACACUGUCUUGAAAAAACAACAAAACAAAAAGUACAAACUGUUACAUAGCUUCCCCUACUGUGUUGAAAAACACUAGUGUACUUAUUCUUCAUGUAUAAUUAUAUUUUGCUACUGGUCAUCUACCUUUUCUAUUCUCCCUCCCUCCUCUAGUGAUCACUACUCUACUUCAAUAAAAUAAACCUUUUUAGUUUCCAGUUAGGAUCUUUAAAUAUAAUUUUUUUUAGAUAUACUUGUAAUCUCAAAAUUUCUCAGCAGAAAAA